rnacentral:sRNA from 1 species
GGGCUUUUUCAGACAAGUGCAUCUCCUAACCAGGUCACAUUUCAGCCGCGACCCACUCUCCGCCAGUCACCGGAGGCAGACCGCGGGAGGAGAGCUGAGGACAGCCGCGUGCGCUUCGCCAGCAGCGGGGUGGGAGGAAGGACAUUAAAAUACUGCAGAAGUCAAGACCCCCCAGGUCGAACCCGGACCACGAUGCGCGCCCCGGGCUGCGGGCGGCUGGUGCUGCCGCUGCUGCUCCUGGCCGCGGCAGCCCUGGCCGAAGGCGACGCCAAGGGGCUCAAGGAGGGCGAGACCCCCGGCAAUUUCAUGGAGGACGAGCAAUGGCUGUCGUCCAUCUCGCAGUACAGCGGCAAGAUCAAGCACUGGAACCGCUUCCGAGACAUUCCCUCGUCCGACCCACCCAGUACAACGCAGGCCACGCCAUGACCUCUCCCGUUUUCUCUUAAACUGCGUGCAUCCACAAGUUCCUUGGAAAUUUGUUUAAAACACACAUGCUUCAUAGGCUAUCCAGCCAAGUGAUGGGAAGAGGCAGAGAUUUGGAUCUUUUUGUUACCGUCAGACAAGUGACUGUUUCUCCCCAAAGUCAAACUGGCAGGUUGUAAUUCACAGAGGAGAGCAGGAACCACGGGCAGCCAGGUCUCCAGGCUGAGUGGCAGGGCCCCCGAUGGGCUGCUGAUCUCCGCCUUCUCCC